rnacentral:rRNA from 1 species
AGUAACGCGUGAGGAACCUGCCUCAAAGAGGGGGACAACAGUUGGAAACGACUGCUAAUACCGCAUAAGCCCACGGCUCGGCAUCGAGCAGAGGGAAAAGGAGCAAUCCGCUUUGAGAUGGCCUCGCGUCCGAUUAGCUAGUUGGCGAGGUAACGGCCCAUCAAGGCAACGAUCGGUAGCCGGACUGAGAGGUUGAACGGCCACAUUGGGACUGAGACACGGCCCAG